CAAGAAGAAAGUAAAUGUAUAUGUCUCGGUAGUUAGGUGCCUGUCAUCUUGGUAUUUCAGUAAGAAGCCAGCAUUACAAAUUGGCAAAGCAAUAGUUUCAUUUACCAACUAAAUAAGAUAUGGUCAUAAAAAUCCAUGUUUUAAAGACCAGGGUGUGAAACUUCAACUCAGAUAUUACUUUCCAUCUCAACAUAUGGAUAUGAAAGCUGGAAAUCCAACAAAGGUACAGACAUCUAAAUGCCUUUGAAAGCAAAUGCCUUAGAAAAAUACUAUGUAUUAAAUGGAAUGAAUUUAUAACAGAUGCCAAGAUUCAUUAGACAGCUCAAAAACCCCUUGGCUCUAAAGUUAUCCAGAAAAGAAGAUGGAAUUAUCAUCUGGAACAUAUGUUAAGAAUCAAGCCAGAGCAUCUGUCAUGGAAAGCAUGCCACUGGGCAGCUGGAGGAACACACAAAAAGCACCAACUGAAGUCUCUCCAUUGAACAAUGCUGAAGUAACCUAGAGACACUCUCAAGCAAGUGUGUGUGAGAUAUGGCUUUUCUUUUUUAAAUGAGCAAAGGAUUGAAAAGACACCUUAAAGAAAGACUGUUUUAAAGUUUUCUGUUGGAUUGCAUUAAACAAAGUAGGAGCAAAAAGAAAACAUUGUAUAAAUCUUCAUUUAAAACUAUUGAAUUCUGGUUAUCGAGGAAGUGAUUGUUUAUGGAAAUUGUGAAAUUUUCCCUGCAUUUUCUUUGCAGAGUUUAUAAACAACAUACUACAAAAUAUUAAUUUAGUUGGAUCUUGAUCUCUCAGAGAGGCAAGCUGUCCACACAGAGGAUCACCAAUAUGAUGAAGGAAGACCCUCAGUGGAUUUUUGCCAAAGACUGAAGGAAGACUUCGUCUCUUCCAUUUUGAUGCAGAGUCAAAAUCAGACUAGACCCUUCGGUAGCAGUUGGGACUAAAAGGGUUUGCCAGGUUGAUGGUCUUGAAUGAGUGGUUCUCUGCUACAGAAAUCUGGUUUGCACAGAUGAGAACGUGUGGGUACCCAGAGUACAGUUCUUUUGAGUUUCUUACCAGACUUUUGACUAAAUUAGUUCUGUAAUAAAAUUGGAGUAUUUAAAUCCACUUCUUUCUGCUGUGUAGGGUCAGCACACCUGCAUUGCUUUGUCCUUGUCCCUGACUCAACUUUAUUAAUUUCCUAUCUAGUUUGAGAUAUUUUGGAAAUUGCCUGUGAAGGAACGUUGAUAUUUCCUUCCACUCUUUUUUUGGGUGUACUGCUGAAUGUAGUCACUCCUUCUUCCCAGAAACUGUGUCAUGGUUUGACAUGACAGCCUUUUCUAGUAAGGAGGAAGGGGCUGUAAAGAUGGCUUCUGUAAGAAGUUGCUCGCAACUCUCCCCAGCUCUGAGCCACACCCACUUCUGGGGCUGAGCCAAUUAGACGCCUCCAUGAUCACUUUUUAAGAAGAAGUGGAAAGGGGAGGUUUCUUCCUCCAUCUUCUUUCCUUCUUCUGCCCCUUCUUCUUCUUCUGGCUGGUGGUGGUGCAAGGAGUAGGAACAGUGAGAGAAACAACCAUGCGGACUCCAAGGUCAGUGAUGAAAGAGAGGAGGAGGUGUGCUGGAGCAGAGACUCCCCUGCAUUUUAUUGGUGAAGCUGAGAUUUAUUUUCAUUUCUUUAAAGACCCUGCAUCAGCGGUAGAGACUCAUUUUGCUAAAGCUGGCCCCAGACCAGGGGCAGCGAUUCACUUAAUUAAAGGCCCCGAGCCAGGGACAGUGACUAUGGCUGAAGGAGGCCGUGUCCCAUGGGAGGGACCCAAUAUCCACAGAAGCUGUAACUGUGGGGAGGAACCGACGACAAAGCAGUUCAUUAAACUUAUGCCCAGAAGAGGCCUUGUCCCGAGAGAGGGACCUUUUAACUGUAGAAACUGCAACCAUGGUGAAGAAUCCACGCCAGAGAUAUUCACCAAGGACUGCAUCCCGUGUGAGGGGUAUUGGCAGAAGCCACAGCUGUUGGGAACAACCCACACCAGAGAAGUUCAUUAAGGACUGUGUUCCAGGGGAGGAACCCCGUGUUGGAGCAGGGGAAGAAUGCCAGGAGUCAUCCUCAUCUGAGAAGACAGAAGCGGCAGAGCCCAUCUGUGAGAGACUGACCACAUCCCCCACUCCCUGCCCCCCUGAGCCGUUGAGGUGGGAGGAGGUAGAGAUAUCAGGAGCAAUGAGCUGGGCCCGGGAAGAAAGGAGGGAUGGGGGAGGGAGAUCUUAAAGUGCUGGCUGUAUUUUUCUACUCAUACUCAUCCUACUCCCUUUUUGCUUUUAUUCCAUUCUGUUUCUUGUAGAAUAAACUUUCCUACUGUCCUCUCUAAGUCGAGUACUGGAGUCUGUUUUGCCGGAACCAUAAUUGGCAGUGAGCCCUCCCUGCCCUUUUCUCAAUCCAUAACAAACUUGCUUACCUUUUUACUCCCAUUUCACUAGGGCCUCCACCAUCCUAACAAGGGUGGAGGUGAAUGGGGGCACCGAGCAAGAGACUGUCGUGCUGCUGCUGUGCUAGCUGGGCCAAACCACAACAAACUGUUACCUGUAGUUAAAGUGAACACAAAUAACAGUGUUGGGCAGUAACAGGCAAAUAGGAGAGAGGUGACUCGUUCCCAAGCUGGAGAACUAAAGCACUGGGUUGGAAGGUGAGAUAUACAGUUAAAGUUACCUUAUAAAUUCAGUUUAGCAUUCUGAUUAAGAUUCAGAGAGAAUUGGUAG